GAUAAAUGGUGAUUGUGAGGACUU
rnacentral:piRNA from 1 species